rnacentral:lncRNA from 1 species
UGUGAUUCAAAUGUGAUAGGUUUAAUAUACCUAUUAUUGUUGGGUUCAUUAGAUUUAGGGGUGGGUAACAGUAGUUCAAUUUUUCUACCUUUUUGUGACUCAAAGGUGGUAGGUUUAAUAUACCUACUGUCGUUGAGUUCAAAUAGGUUGGGUUGGGUUGCUUAAAAGAUUUUCAUAAUUCUUUCUUUUGGUGUAAUUCAAAGGUGUUGAGUUUAAUAUGCUCAAUAUUGUUGAGUUCAUCCAAGAUUGAAGAUUGGUUGAACUAGAUCAUCAAGGAACGAUCUUAAUCAACGGGUAACCGUUGCUUAUCAUAUAUGCAAAAAUAUUUA